CAAAAGGAAUAGUUGACCUUUAAAUUUCAUGUUAAAUCUAACAAAAGAAAUUCUGUUCAGUGGGGCAUAAGUGAGUAGAAUUUACCUGAUCAUCACAGCUUUCACAUCAUGGUGAACAAUAAAUUUUAGAUUUAGUCAGAUAAGCAGCAAACUGGGCAUGUGCAUAUUAAAUUAAGUACAUCAAUUGGUGCAUCAACUGUUGCAGGUUACUGCCAUAAUAAGUAGAAAAUGUCAUUCUGCCCUAUUUUGAUUUAAAUCCAGU
rnacentral:lncRNA from 1 species